rnacentral:rRNA from 1 species
CUGGCGGCGCGCUUAACACAUGCAAGUCGAACGGUGAACCAGAGCUUGCUCUGGGGAUCAGUGGCGAACGGGUGAGUAACACGUGGGCAACCUGCCCCAGACUCUGGGAUAACCUCGGGAAACCGAUGGCUAAUACCGGAUACGACCACUUCGGACAUCCGACGGUGGUGGAAAGUUUUUCGGUCUGGGAUGGGCCCGCGGCCUAUCAGCUAGUUGGUGGGGUAAUGGCCUACCAAGGCGACGACGGGUAGCCGGCCUGAGAGGGCGACCGGCCACACUGGAACUGAGACACGGUCCAGACUCCUACGGGAGGCAGCAGUGGGGAAUAUUGCACAAUGGGCGAAAGCCUGAUGCAACGACGCCGCGUGAGGGACGACGGCCUUCGGGUUGUAAACCUCUUUCAGCAGGGACGAAGCGAAAGUGACUGUACCUGCAGAAGAAGCACCAGCUAACUACGUG